rnacentral:rRNA from 1 species
AUAUGACUGCUUAUUGCACCACAUGUGUUUUUCUUUGAAACAAACUUGCUUUGGCGGUGGGCCCAGCCUGCCGCCAGAGGUCUAAACUUACAACCAAUUUUUUAUCAACUUGUCACACCAGAUUAUUACUUAAUAGUCAAAACUUUCAACAACGGAUCUCUUGGUUCUCGCAUCGAUGAAGAACGCAGCGAAAUGCGAUACGUAAUAUGAAUUGCAGAUAUUCGUGAAUCAUCGAAUCUUUGAACGCACAUUGCGCCCUCUGGUAUUCCGGAGGGCAUGCCUGUUUGAGCGUCGUUUCUCCCUCAAACCGCUGGGUUUGGUGUUGAGCAAUACGACUUGGGUUUGCUUGAAAGACGGUAGUGGUAAGGCGGGAUCGCUUUGACAAUGGCUUAGGUCUAACCAAAAACAUUGCUUGCGGCGGUAACGUCUACCACGUAUAUCUUCAAACUUUGACCUCAAAUCAGGUAGGACUACCCGCUGAACUUAAGCAUAUCAAAAGCCGGGAGGAA